CCAAUAGCGUAUAUUAAAGUUGUUGCAGUUAAAAAGCUCGUAGUUGAAUUUCGGGAUCAAUGUGCCGGUCGUGCCUCGGUAUGCACUGGUACUUUUGAUUUCUCCCUUCUGAAGAACUUUGAUGUCAUUAAUUUGGUGUCUUAGGGAAUCAGGACUGUUACUUUGAAAAAAUUAGAGUGUUUAAAGCAAGCUCACGCUUG
rnacentral:rRNA from 1 species